GGGAGUAUAGCACAGCUGGUAGUGCGUUCGCCUCCAAAGUGAAAGGUCCCGGGUUCGAAUCCUGGUGCUCCCG
rnacentral:tRNA from 1 species